ensembl:lncRNA EPM2A-DT EPM2A divergent transcript
GACCCCGCAGCGUCGUGGCUAGAGUAGGGUCUGGAGAGAGCUCCCACUGUGGCGAGUCCUGUCGUUGGAUUCCCGCGGCGCCCCGUAAGGCUCCGCCCCGGCGGUGCUACCAAACCCUGUUCGAUUUUAGAAUCGUACAUUCCCAGAGGGAAUCCUAGACCCCUCAUUUUACAGUUGAGGAAACAGGCCCAAGUAGCAUGACUUGUUCGCGCCGCUAGUCGAAGGAGCAGCAGCCCCGAUCCCUUGACUCUGGGGCACUGCUUUCCCUUUAGCUCAUUUUUGGAGGAAAUGGGUGCGCCCUUGCUCGACCUUUGGUGAUUGCCGCCACAGGCCUUCCCGCCGGCUAACUCAGCGUGCCCAAGUCCCGUGACUUAGUGCCAGGACGGUGCUGUGACCCGUUAUCCCCUGUCGGGUUUUACCUCCCCCCGGGAGAGCUCAGCCCUGGAUCCCGGCGGGCGGCGGAGCCUCUCUGGAGCCCGGACGGGACAGCCCACCAGGGUCUGCUUCUGUGAGGGGCCGAGGCGUCAUUCCGCGAAGCCUUCUCCUUGCUGUUGCCAUGUGAAGAAGGAUGUGUUUGCUUCCCCUUCUGCCAUGAUUCAUUUUGCACAGAGCUUGGCAGUUACAUAGUAGAUGUUGAACAAUUUCUUCUGUGUUUCAGCUGUCAAACUGUUCUGAAUGUGUGAGGCUCUUCAUUCGAUGUACAAAAACCACAAGAUUAUCUAAAUAGAUGCAGAAAAGGCCUUCGAUAAAAAUCCUCAUUCCUUCAUGUUAAAAACUCUCAAUAAACUAGGUAUUGAAGGAACAUACCUCAAAAUAAUAAGAGCCAUUUAUGACAAACUCACAGCCAGUGUCCUUACUGAAUGGGCAAAAGCUGAAAGCAUUCCCCUUGAAAACCAGCACAAGACAAGUUUGCCCUCUCUCCCAACCCCUAUUCAAUAUAGUAUUGGAAGUUAUGGCCACGGCAAUCGGGCAAGAGAAAAAAAUGAAGAGUAUUUAAAUGGGAAAAGAGGAAGUCAAACUAUCUUUUUUUGCAGGUGACAUAAUCCUAUAUCUAGAAAACCCAUUGUCUCAACCCAAAAGCUUCUUAAGCUGAUAAGCAACUUCAGCAAAGUCUCAGGAUAAAAAAUCAAAGUGCAAAAAUUGCUAUACACCAACAACAGGCAAGCCAAGAGCCAAAUCAUGAAUGAGCUUUGAUUCACAAUUGCUACAAAAAGAACAAAAUACCUAGGAAUACAGCUAACAAGGGAAGUGAAGGACCUCUUCAAGGAGAACUACAAAGCACUGCUCAAAGAAAUCAGAGAUGAUGCAAACAAAUGGAAAAACGUUCCAUGCUCAUGGAUAGGAAGAAUCAAUAUUAUGUAAAUGGUCAUACUGCCCAAAGCAACUUAUAAAUUCAAUGUUAUUCCCAUUAAAUUACCACUGACAUUCUUCACAUAAUUAGAAAAAACUAUUUUGAAAUUUAUAUGGAACCAAAAAAGAGCCUGAAUACUGAAAGCAAUCCUUAGCAAAAAGAACAAAGGUGGAGGCAUCAGGCUAGCUGACUUCAAACUAUACGAUAGGGCUACAGUAACCAAAAUAGCACGGUACUGGUACAAAAACAGAGACAUAGACCAAUGGAAAAGAAUAGAGAAUACAGAAAUAAGACUGCACACCUACAACUGUCUCAUCUUUGACAAACCUGACAAAAACAAGCAAUGGAGAAAGGAUUCCCUAUUUAAUAAAUGGUGCUGGGAGAACUAGCUAGCCAUAUGCAGGAUAUUGAAACUGGCACCUUCCUUACGCCUUACACAAAAAUCAACUCAAGAUGGAUUAAAGACUUACAUGUAAAACCCCAAACUAUAAAAACACUAGAAGAAAACCUGGGCAAUACCAUUUAGGAUAUAGGCAUUGGCAAAGAUUUCAUGAUGAAAACACUAAAAGCAAUUGCAACAAAAGCAAAAAUUAGCAAAUGGGUCUAAUUAAACUAAAGAGCUUCUGCA